UACAGAGGGUGCGAGCGUUAAUCGGAAUUACUGGGCGUAAAGCGUGCGUAGACGGUUCUGUAAGUCGGAUGUGAAAUCCCCGGGCUCAACCUGGGAAUUGCAUUCGAGACUGCAAAGCUUGGGUGCGGAAGAGGGAAGCGGAAUUUCCGGUGUAGCGGUGAAAUGCGUAGAUAUCGGAAGGAACAUCAGUGGCGAAAGCGGCUUCCUGGUCCAGCACCGACGUCAGGCACGAAAGCGUGGGAGCAAACAGGG
rnacentral:rRNA from 1 species